ensembl:miRNA
AAGAGAAGUUCACAGAGGGUUUCAUGUGUAUCUCUUGAAGAUGCUGAGUAUGAGAGAAGCAUAUGAAAGCGCUUCUGUGAUUUUUCUU